AUUGAACGCUGGCGGCAUGCCUUACACAUGCAAGUCGAACGGCAGCACGGGUGCUUGCACCUGGUGGCGAGUGGCGAACGGGUGAGUAAUACAUCGGAACGUACCUUAUCGUGGGGGAUAACGCAGCGAAAGCUGUGCUAAUACCGCAUACGCCCUGAGGGGGAAAGCGGGGGAUCGCAAGACCUCGCGCGAUUAGAGCGGCCGAUGCCUGAUUAGCUAGUUGGUGGGGUAAAAGCCCACCAAGGCGACGAUCAGUAGCUGGACUGAGAGGACGAGCAGCCGCGCUGGUACUGAGAAACGGACCAGACUCCUACGGGGGGCAGCAAUGGGGAAUUUUGGACAAUGGGGACAACCCUGAUCCAGCAAUGCCGCGUGAGGGAAGAAGGCCUUCGGGUUGUAAAGCUCUCUUGUCAGGGAAGAAACACCGGCUCUAACACAGUCCGGGGAUGACGGUACCUGAAGAAUAAGCACCGGCUAACUACGUGCCAGCCGCCGCAGUAA
rnacentral:rRNA from 1 species